GCUUCUCUAGUUAUACCAACUUUAGUAACGACCGCAGGAUAGCAAUACACAGCGGUCCGAGGAGCCAUAAACAAACCUCAACCAAAACGCCACUCUAUAGCCACAAAUAAUGCUGAGAACAGCACCUAACUUCAUCAACAGGACAUACAGGGUCACAGACAUAGUACUAGACACCAAACAUCUUUUUAACUUUGACUCAUUUCUUUAGCAAAGAGUCUAAACACAACUCACCUACUCUCUUCCAGCAGCCGCUUGUUUGUAGCGAGACCUCAGGCCAGUCCAUUACGGACUACAG